rnacentral:rRNA from 1 species
AUUACGAUUUCGAUUUGAUGUUGCUUUUUAACAAGUACAUCGAAACACCUUUUUUUUUACAUACACACGUAAACAUAAACGAACGUAAUUAUAACCAAUUCAUAUUGGAAAAUAAAACAACUUUUGACAACGGAUCUCUUGGUUCUCCUAACGAUGAAGAACGCAGCGAAAUGCGAAAAGUAAUGUGAAUUGCAGAAUUCAGUGAAUCAUCGAAUCUUUGAACGCACCUUGCACUUCUUGGUAUUCCUUGAAGUAUGUCUGUUUGAGUGUCGUGAAUACUCUCAAAGGAUGAAGUUUUUUCAUCAUCCUUUGGUUCGUGAGGUUGACGCUACCUUUCUCUUUUUAGUGAAGCGACUUCCUUUAAAUAGAAUAGAUUAUGAGAAAUUUUCAUGCAUACAUCUGAGUAGUAAGUACUAUACUUAUCUUGUUGUUGUUAUUAGGCGACGAGGUAUACUCACAUAUCUAUUGAUAUUCAUUUCUCGAUACGAUUUCGUUUGCUUCUUACCCAGCAACGAAUGACUAAACAAUAAAUUUUUAUUUUUUUUUGGCCUCAAAUCAGAUAAGACCACCCGCUGAACUUAAGCAUAUCAUUAAGCGGAGGAAAAGAAACUAACGAGGAUUCCCCUAGUAACGGCGAGUGAAGAGGGAAAAGCUCAAAUUUGAAAGCUUGUCCUUUUUUCGGGGGCACGCAUUGUAAUCUCGAGAUGUGUUUUCCGUGUUGGCUUACGGACAAUGUCCUUGGAAUAGGAAAUCAUAGAGGGUGACAACCCCGUCUUUGCCGUAAACAUCCAAUGCUUUGUGAUACACAAUCGAAGAGUCGAGUUGUUUGGGAAUGCAGCUCAAAAUGGGUGGUAAAUUCCAUCUAAAGCUAAAUAUUGAGGAGAGACCGAUAGCAAACAAGUACCGUGAGGGAAAGAUGAAAAGCACUUUGGAAAGAGAGUUAAACAGUACGUGAAAUUGUCAAAAGGGAAGCGCUUCACGUAAUAAGUAUUUUUAUGGAGCAUUAUGGCGGUGUAUUCUUCGGAAUGCUAAGUAAGAGUUUCUCUCCUGCCGCUCCUAUUUUACUGGUCAUUGUCGAUUCUGUUGCCGACGGAUAAGGGUACGAGAAAGGUAGCAUUAUGUUCGCAUAAUGUGUUUAUAGACUUGUACUGGAUACGUUGGUCGGGAUCGAGGAUAACGCAGGGAACCCUUCGGGGCUGGCUUUCGAGCACAUUUUCCCUAAGGACAACGACUUCAAUUGCGUGAAGCGACCCGUCUUGAAACACGG